UACGGAGGGUGCAAGCGUUAAUCGGAAUUACUGGGCGUAAAGCGCACGUAGGCGGAUAUUUAAGUCAGGGGUGAAAUCCCGGGGCUCAACCCCGGAACUGCCUUUGAUACUGGGUAUCUCGAGUCCGAGAGAGGUGAGUGGAAUUCCGAGUGUAGAGGUGAAAUUCGUAGAUAUUCGGAGGAACACCAGUGGCGAAGGCGGCUCACUGGUCCGGUACUGACGCUGAGGUGCGAAAGCGUGGGGAGCAAACAGG
rnacentral:rRNA from 1 species